rnacentral:miRNA from 15 species
GGAUGACAUCUCACCUUGGAAUAGUUACUAUGAUGUUGGCCCGGGUCACUCAGACUGUACUACUAAGGCAAUGCAAAGCGCCUUAAGACCUUAUUUUCUGAUUGAGCCGUGCCAAUAUCUUAGUACUCUUUCAUCAUC